GUGAAUGGAAAAGGUGAAUUCACUGAUGUCUUGGAUGAGACAGGCUGUGUGAAACCAAAGGUAGCUUACUUGAGCUCCUGAAAAACCACAACAAAUUCCUUGUGUGUUUGCACAAACUUGUUGCUUUUGCAAUAGACAUUCGGUCCAGUGAUGGAUGCAGUGACCAGAAACCACCAGCAGAUGACGAGAGCGUGAGCAGGAGUGCUGCAGGAAUCCUUUAGGACAAGGUCACCUUAACAUACACACGCCCUGCAAGUGAGGUCACUCAGCUAGAAAAUAUAUAAAUUCCCUUGAAUGUUUUCAACCCAUACCUGCUCAAUAUAGGCCUAGAGGAGAACAAGGACAAGGAGAACAUGUUGCAGUAGUAAUUUACUAUAAGGAGACAAAUUCACCAUUAGACUGAAAACUUAUUUUUAUAGAUAUUUAUAGCAUAUCGUUGCUUUUUUAGUUGCAGAUGAACAACAGUUUUUGCUGUGAUUCUAUAUGAAAAUCACAAAUGUCAAUUAUGAACUGACCUUUUGGAAAAUUUAGAAAAUACCUGCUGUCACAUUCUGUCCUGUUAGUAUUUAAACUUUAUUUUCCCACAAACUUUCCAAGGAAUCGCACACAGAUAUUCUCAGAAGUGAAUUGCUGUAGUCAAUAAGGAGGCAGCUGAUAAUUGGCAGGCCACAACAGUAAAUACUGCAACAGUGCUACCUUGUAGGGGACUGAUGUGUAGUGGUGUCCUUGACGACAACGGAUGUUCUAUUAUCUCUAAAAUCAUGCAGGAAAUGUUGCUUAAACACAUGCUAAUACUCCUUGACUCAGCUUUACGGUAUACUGUAUACAAACCGCUUUUGUACACCACAAACCUAUCUAAGA